CCUCUAGGUCAUCACAGAGCACCAGGCUGAGCUCCCUGUGUUAUUUAGCAACUUCUCAGUAGCUAUUUUACACAUGAUAGUGUAUAUAUGUCAUUGCUACUUUCUCAGUUUGUCCCAUCCUCAGCUUCCCUACUGUGUUCACAAGUGCAUUCUCUGCUAGGUUACUCUUCUUUAACAGUGUGGUUCAUUUUGAGCCAGUGAUUCUAAUGUUACCAAAUACAGUGUUGUCUAGUUGCCUGAUACUGAGACAUCUUUGGUUUCUGUGAAGAACUGUGCUACUCAUACUACUUAACAUCUAGACUUACGUAAGAGAAAAGGGAUUUUUGUUAAUAUUGUUUGGUCAGAAUAGCAGGUUUUUUUCCUGCUUAUUUCUAAAUGUUAUAGUAUCAGCCUUUUAUACCUAUAUGGUUUCAAACAAUAUUACCAUGGGAUAUUAUGGUGAGUCAAUUCUCCAAUGACUUGAAAACUUCAGCCAGUCAUGUUCACUGUUAGGCUAAAAAGCAAAACAACAGACUUAGGGGAAGAGUGUGUGUGUGUAUGUGUGUGUAAUCAUCACACACAAAUAUUCUUAACAGCCCCUUGCUCUAAUUUGCCCAUGAAGUCUGUGCUUUUAUCUUUUAUCAAGAAUUUGCAUCUACAGCCUCCCAAGUCAAAAGAAAUAGAAGUAAAAAUUUUAAAUGAGACCUAAUCAAACAUAAGCUUUUGCACAGCAAAUAAUAAUAAUAAGCAAAUGAAAAGAUAACCUAUGAACUGGGAGAAAAUAUCUGUGAAUGAUGCAGCCAACAAGGGAUUAAUUUCAAAAACAUGCAGACAGCUCAUAUCAGUUUAGUCGUUCAGUUGUAUCCGACACUUUGCGACACCAUGGACUGCAGCACUCCAGGCUUACUUGUAAAUCACCAACUCCCAAAGCUUAAUCAAACUCACGUCCACUGAGUCAGUGAUGCCAUCCAACCAACUCAUCCUCUGUCAUCCCCUUCUCCCACCUUCAGUCUUUCCCAGAAUCAGGUUCUUUUCCAAUGAGUCAGUUCUUUGCAUCAGGUGGCCAAAGUAUUGGAGUUUCAGCUUCAGCAUCAGUCCUUCCAAUGAAUAUUCAGGACUGGUUUCCUUUAGGAUGGACUGGUUGGAUCUCCUUGCAGUCCAAGGGACUCUUUCAAGAGUCUCCUCAAACACCACAGUUCAAAAGCAUCAAUUCCUCUGUGCUCAGCUUUCUUUAUAGUCCAACUCUCACAUCUAUACAUGACUACUGGAAAAAACAUAGCUUUAACUAGAUGGACCUUUGUUGGCAAAGUAAUGUCUCUGCUUUUUAAUAUGCUGUCUAGGUUGGUCACAACUUUUCUUCCAAGGAGUGAGCCUUUUUUAAUUUCAUGACUUCAGUCACCAUCUGCGGUGAUUUUGGAGCCCUCCAAAAUAAAGUUUGUCACUGUUUCCAUUGUUUCCCCAUCUACUUGCCAUGAAGUGAUGGGACCAGAUGCCAUGAUCUUCGUUUUCUGAAUGUUGAGCUUUAAGCCAACUUUUUCACUCUCCUCUUUACUUUCAUCAAGAGGCUCUUUAGUUCCUCUUCACUUUCUGCCCUAAGGGUGGUGUCAUCUGCAUAUCUGAGGUUAUUGAGAUUUCUCCUGGCAAUCUUGAUUCCAGCUUGUGCUUCUUCCAGCCCAGCGUUUCUCAUGAUGUAUUCUGCAUAUGUUAAAUAGGAGGGUGACAAUAUACAGCCUUGACAUACUCCUUUCCCAAUUUGGAACUAGUCUGUUGUUCCAUGUCCAGUUCUAACUGUUGCUUCUUGACCUGUGUACAGAUUUCUCAGGAGGCAGGUCAGGUGGUGUGGUAUUCCCAUCUCUGUCAGAAUUUUCCACAGGUUUUUUGUGAUCCACACAGUCAAAGGCUUUGGCAUAGUCAAUAAAGUGAAGUACAUGUUUUUCUGAAACUCUCUUGCAUUUAUGAUGAUCCAACAGAUGUUGGCAGUUUGAUUGCUGGUUCCUCUGCUUUUUCUAAAUCCAGCUUGAACAUCUGGAAGCUCACGGUUCAUGUACUUUUAAAGCCUGGCUUGGAGAAUUUUGAGCAUUACUUUACUAGCGUGUGAGAUUAGUGCAAUUGUGCGGUAGUUUGAGCAUUCUUUGGCAUUGCCUUUCUUUGGGAUUGGAAUGAACACUGACCUUUUGCAGUCCCGUAGCCACUGCUGAGUUUUCCAAAUUUACUGGCAUAUUGAGUGCAGCACUUUCACAACAUCAUAUCUUAGGAUUUGAAAUAGCUCAACUGGAAUUCCAUCACCUCCACUAGCUUUGUUCGUAGUGAUGCUUCGUAAGGCCCACUUGACCUCACAUUCCAGGAUGUGUGGCUCUAGGUGAGUGAUCACACCAUCGUGGUUAUCUGGGUCAUGAAGAUCUUUUUUGUAUAGUUCUGUGUAUUCUUGCCACCUCUUCUUAAUAUCUCCUGCAUCUGUUAGGUCCAUACCAUUUCUGUUCUUUGUGCCCAUCUUUGCAUGAAAUGUUCCCUUGGUAUUUCUGAUUUUCUUGAAGAGAUCUCUAGUCUUUCCCAUUCUGUUGUUUCCCUCUAUUUCUUUGCAUUGAUCACUGAGGAAGGCUUUCUUAUCUCUCCUUGCUGUUCUUUGGAAGUCUCUGUUGAAAUGGGUAUAUCUUUCCUUUUCUCCUUUACCUUUUGCAUCUUUUCUUUUCUCAGGUAUUUGUAAGGCCUCCUCAAACAGCCAUUUUUCCUUUUUGCAUUUCUUUUUCUUGGGGAUGGUCUUGAUGGAUGGUCUCCUGUACAAUGUCACAAACUUCCAUCCAUAGUUCUCUGGGCACCCUAUCAGAUCUAAUCCUUUUAAUCUAUUUGUCACUUCCACUGUAUAAUCAUAAGGGAUUUGAUUUAGGUCACAUCUGAAUGGUCUAGUGUUUUUCCCUACUUUCUUUAAUUUAAGUCAAGUCUGAAUUUGGCAAUAAGGAGUUCACGAUCUGGGCCACAGUCAGUUCCCAGUCUUGUUUUUGCUGACUGUAUAGAGCUUCUCCAUCUUUGGCUGCAAAGAAUAUAAUCACUCUGAUUUGGUAUUGACCAUCUGGUGAUGUCCGUGUGUAGAGUCUUCUCUUGUGUUGUUGGAAGAGAGUGUUUGCUACGACCAGUGCAUUCUCUUGGCAAAACUCUUAGCCUUUGACCUGCUUUGUUUCGUAUUACAAGGCCAAAUUUGCCUGUAACUCCAGGUAUCUCUUGACUUCCUACUUUUGCAUUCUAGGCCCCUAUAAUGAAAAGGACAUAUAGCUCAAACAAAAAUGGUCAGAAGACCUAAAUACAUUUUCUCAAAGAAGACAUGCAGAUGGCCACCAGGCACAUGAACAGAUGUUCAACAUCAUUAAUUAUUAGAGAACUGAAAAUCAAAAGUACAAUGAGGUAUCACUUCACACCAGUGAGAAAGGGCCAUCAAAAAAUUCUACAAAUAAUAAAUACUGGAGAAGGUAUGGAGAAAAGGGAACCCUCUUACACUGUUGGUGGGAAUGUAAAUUGGUGUAGCCAUUAUGGAGAACAGUAUGGAGAUUUCUCAGGUAAACUAAAAAUAGAGCUGCUAUAUAGACCAACAAUCUCAGUCUUAGAGACAUACUCAGAAAAGGUGAAAACUCUUUAACGUGAAAAGGAACAUGCACCCUGAUAUUCAUAGCAGCACUACUUAUAAUAGUCAAGACAUGGAAGCAACUUUGUCACUCAACACAUGAAUGGAUAAAGAUGUGUGGUGUACACACACACACACACACACACACACACACACAAUAUGAAUUACUAUUCUGCCAUAAAAAAAGAAGUAAUGUUAUUUAUAGCAACACGGAUGGACCUGCUAUUGUUCAGUCUCUCAGUCGAGUCUUAGUCUUUGUGGCCCUAUGGACUACAGUACGUCAGGUUUCCCUGUCCUUCACUAUUUCCUGGAGUUUACUCAAAUUCUUAGUCCAUGAUGCUAUCCAACCAUCUCAUCCUCUGUCACUCUCUUUUCCUCCUGCCCUCAAUCUUUCCCAGCAUCAGGGUCUUUUCCAGUGGGUCAGCCCUUUGCAUCAGGUGGCCAAAGUAUUCGAGUUUAAGCUUCAGCAUCAGUCCUUCCAAUGAACAUUGAUUUCCUUUAGGAUUGACUCGUUUGAUCUUGCUACCCAAGGGACUCUCAUGAGUCUUUUCCAGCACCACAGUUCAAAAAGAAACAAUAUUCCAAUACUUAAAACUGCUUUAGCCCUACUUUUGAUUUUGGCAUCAACUGCUGACUUAUAAAGAAUCAAUGAAUGUCUUGAAAUUGCAGUAACAUUAAGGCUAUAGUACUUUUUAAACCACUUUCUUAACCUGUGUUAUAUGGAAAAAACAUUUCCCUAAUUUAGGAUGAUGUUAAAUUGCAAGGUUCUUAAAUUCAGAUAGUUAAUAUCUGGGUUUUUGUUGUUUAGAAUUUUUUGAAUUGUUGAUUCUUUGGACUAGCUGACCUUUCACUUUAUUUCUACAUGAAUGACAUUCAUGACAGUUUUGAAAAAGAGGGGUACUUCUACAUAGGGCAAGAAAAUUUAUGGCAUAAUAUGAUUUUUAUCUUUCAAAUGCUGGUACAAGCC
ensembl:lncRNA